GGUAAGAGGUGUAGGUCAUAUCUCAUCUGUCCAGGUGAGAGGUGUAGGUCAUAUCUCAUCUGUCCAGGUGACAGGUGUAGGUCAUAUCUCAUCUGUCCAGGUGACAGGUGUAGGUCAUAUCUCAUCUGUCCAGGUGACAGGUGUAGGUCAUAUCUCAUCUGUCCAGGUGACAGGUGUAGGUCAUAUCUCAUCUGUCCAGGUGAGAGGUGUAGGUCAUAUCUCAUCUGUCCAGGUGACAGGUGUAGGUCAUAUCUCAUCUGUCCAGGUGACAGGUGUAGGUCAUAUCUCAUCUGUCCAGGUGAGAGGUGUAGGUCAUAUCUCAUCUGUCCAGGUGAGAGGUGUAGGUCAUAUCUCAUCUGUCCAGGUGACAGGUGUAGGUCAUAUCUCAUCUGUCCAGGUGACAGGUGUAGGUCAUAUCUCAUCUGUCCAGGUGACAGGUGUAGGUCAUAUCUCAUCUGUCCAGGUGAGAGGUGUAGGUCAUAUCUCAUCUGUCCAGGUAAGAGGUGUAGGUCAUAUCUCAUCUGUCCAGGUGACAGGUGUAGGUCAUAUCUCAUCUGUCCAGGUGAGAGGUGUAGGUCAUAUCUCAUCUGUCCAGGUGAGAGGUGUAGGUCAUAUCUCAUCUGUCCAGGUGACAGGUGUAGGUCAUAUCUGAUCUGUCCAGGUGACAGGUGUAGGUCAUAUCUGAUCUGUCCAGGUGAUAUGGGUG